AUUAUGUCUUCCCAGAUCCCUGACUGUCAAGUGAGAAGUCUCUGCACAAUUCCUUUCAAACUAAUUUGAUUUGAUUCCUGGUUGCUCUCUGUGAGCUAGUAACCAUCAUCAAGAAUCUUGCUAAGUCCUUGUCCUUGAGUCUGGAUCUGACCCUUGUGAUUUCUCUUAGCAACAGGUCACAUUUGGCCCAUUCCCCUCCUGCUCAGCUUCAUGGCUUCCACAAUGGACUGUCUGUGAUAAUGUCCUUAACCUCAGUUCCUCCAGAAAC
rnacentral:lncRNA from 1 species